CUCGUGAGCCCUGCGCCGCUCAGUCGCUCCCUGCACAAUCGCCACCGCCGAUUGUUGCCGCUCAGUGUGUAAUCCAUCAGCGAGAUAGCGGGCGCCCACGACCCUGCCCUCGCCGUGUGGCCCGUCCGCGAGAUAGCCCGUGCCCAGGAGCCUACCCCGGCACGCGGUGCCGCGCCCGCCCUGCACGUCCCCUGAACCAGCCGGCCACACAAAGCUGUAAUUCUUCCCUGCCCUUCUUUAGGUUCAACUUCUUCGUUUGACCUGUUGCAGCAUUAUACAGGAUUAGAAUUUUCAGAAUAGAGUUCUAAAAAACAAACAGUUGCACAGCACAAUGCUAUAAGCCGUUCGUUUUAUAUCUGUAAUUAAUGGUUUUCUAUGUGGAACAUGGUUAGUGUUUUGGCUGCUGCAAUUUUGUAACUAACUAAAUCAUGCACCCUAUCUCCUUGGCUUUCAGAAUUUACGAAGGUGACUUGAGUUCUCGCAGAACACCUGAAAUAUUGGAUUUAGCUUAUAGAAUUUACAAAGGUGCCAAUGGUAUUAAUGUAAGCGCACAUCACAGAACGAGAAAAUUAAUCAUAAUUAGUUUCAGCUCGGACCUAUGGUGUACGUGCAUAUACACUCAUAGGCAUGGGCCAAAUUAUAGAGUGCUACUCUGAAACAACAAAGUGCACUAAGAUACCAACAGAUACAUACAUACCUCAUGCGUGCUCAAGGACAUACCAAGACCCCAGGCAGAUACAUAAAAUCUGAAGAUACAUGAGUAAGAAGCAAGAUAACAGUCGGUCAUUACAUAAUCAGAAAUAGAUAUUACUUUUAUAUUACCAGAUUCAUGAUGUAGUGGACAGAGAAAAUCCAUGAAAAAAACAGCCCCAACUAAAAAGUAUCAUACGAACACUAAAUCGCAAAGUCCUCUUGAGAAUUAAUUCUCUAGCUAUCAAAGCAACAUGUCUAUGAAAUCAAAGCAUUACCCUUGCCAAGAUCAUCAUCAGCAU
rnacentral:lncRNA from 1 species